UGACUGAAUUUAAACGAGCCACUUGUAAGACAGAUGUGUGGUGACAAGGAAAGAAAGAGGGAAGUAAGGAUAGCAGAAACUGUGCAUGUUUGAGUAAGAAAAUAUUAAACUCAGCUUCAGGGAGCUAUGGUAAAUAGGCCUGAGCACUGGUAGCUAAACUGCUGUUAAACCAAAAUAGAUUUGGAGUAAAGCCGCCAGGUGUUUCAGGUUAAAGGAAAUAUAGCAAAAGCCUAGCCUUCAUUUUCAUACCAUCCUGUAGCUACAGGAGUGAGCGUGUAAUGCACAUUUUGAGCACUCUUUCCUGUCCCUCCUCUUUUCCUGUAUGACUACCCCACAACACUUUCUCCACCCGCUCUCCCUGUCUUUUGGACACUCAUGCAGUGUGACUCAGCGCUGGUACAGUCUGUCCUCUCUAUCUUCCCUGCAUCUGGUCCAUUGUAGCAGAUCACGCAUGUUUUCUUGUCCACCAGCUCUCUAUGCUGACACAGUGUGUCCUCCAGUGCCCUGGCUGCCUGCUAUCUCUGCUGACCCAAGGAUAAGCUCAUCAGGCGACAAUGGCUCCACUAGAGACAGAUGACACUGCUUUCCAAAAUGUUAUACUCACACAACGGAGCAGGCGUAGCAUCCCUGUUUGCUGCUCUCACGGAUGAGGAACGUUCCAGGAGCUUUCCCCUGAAGCAUCUCCUCGGCCUGCGUCCGGCUCAGUUCACC